CUGGGUCUUGUGAUUCUCACAAUAUAAAGCUCUUCGCUGUAGGAUGUAUAGUUUUUAAAAUACGACCAUUUGAAGAUGGCAACUGCCAAAAUACUCUGACCUGUGCCAGGCUGGAGCAGCAAGUGAUGUCAUAGACAGGGCCUUUUGUACACCUGCUAAUGUUUUUAUAAAUGUAUGGUUUAAUGUAACUGUGAAGCACUUUGGG